rnacentral:lncRNA from 1 species
UGUGUCCGAGUUGGUACCUUGUAUGCCCCAGCAGACUUCGUAGUGGUAGAGACCGGAAAUGAUGAGAGAGCACCUAUCAUUCUAGGGAGGCCAUUCUUGAACACCACGGGAGCUAUCAUCUACGCCAGUGCUGCAAAGAUCAGUUUCUAUGUCAAAGGGAAGAAGGAGACAUUUUUCUUCAAGAACAAGACUACACAAAUUCCAAAUCAAUCCAGACGUGAAUCAAGGAAGAGGACCAACAGGAGGAACAGGAACAAGCAAGUGUGGACCGAGUCAGCUAAGAUGGUCACUGUAGUCCAUGCAGGCCAAGAUCACCAACUGAAGUCACCGUUUUUGACCAAGAAGGACGACCCAGGAAUGCCAAGCAUUUACUGCUCCAUAAAUGGAUACAACUUCUACAAGAUGAUUUGCGACACCGGAUCAGGCGUCAACAUAAUGGCCGCAGUCACCUAUUGGCUCUUGUUCGAGACCAUGCCACUAAGACCAACAUACAUUCAGCUCCAGAUGGCAGAUCAGACAUUUCGAGAAGUUCAAGGAAUAGUAUCUGAUGUCCCAGUCAAAAUAGACGAUCACUUUGUCUACACAGACUUUCAAGUUGUUGACAUGGGAGAAGACGAGUAUGAUCCACCCAUCAUCCUUGGAAGACCAUUCCUCAGCACCGUUAAAGCCAUUAUCUACAUUGGAACCGGAGAUGUCCAUAUGCACUUCCCCUCAGAGAAGGUACGCCGUUACUUUACUGACCCUAACUAUAUUGUUGAAGAAUCUAAGCAGGUCAGAAAGAGACGCAACCGCAACCAGAGGAGGCAAAUCAUUAAGGACGGAUGGGCAGACUAUGAAGGAGAAGUUGUAAGGUCAGAAGACGUAGAGUUUAAACAGAAUUAUCUAGAGGAGAUUGAAGCACUGAGUCAGGUAUGGAAAAUGAAGAUAACUAUACAAGAAGAGGAGGCGCUGCCGGAAGUACCGACUACGCCACCCAACGAACCUCAGGACGAUUAAGAAAUUGGAGAGUCCCGUUCGGAGGACUUAAAAACACCGAACGCCUUGCCAAGAGGUAAACUUGGUAGUUAUCCUUUCCCUUUCAAUUAUUUCAAAUAGUUUACUUAGUUAAUCAUGUUCAUACUAUCUUAAAAAAAAAAGAAAAUAAAAAUGUGAAGAAACUGUAAGCCCCAUGUGAGUAGACGAGUGGCAUAAAACCCAUAAGUAUAUUCACUGUGGUGGCAUAAAAAUAAAAUAAAUAUUUUUCUGCUUUAUAAAGACAAAAAUAUAAAAACAGGGAGUAACAAUUAUUAAGGAGUCUCAAGAUAAUGAAGGCUAUAUAUUUAUGCUAACACUUAAUCAGUUCCACAAGCUUUGUUGUCUAUUUGAGCUCCACAGAAUUUAAGAAUCAAGAACACUAGCAGAAGGAGGACAUUCUAAUCGCUGUCAGAAGCUGCUGACUUUCAAAUACACCUCUGCCACCUGCUAGCUACAUCAAGAGAAAUUACGUCAAAAUUCAGCUUGGGGGAGAGCACCCCCAUUUAUAUCGAUAAGUAUUUCUAUCUAUCUAUCUUUAUACUUAUAUUAUUUUAGAAUAUUAAUACACAUAAACUAUGGAAAACCAAAUAAAGAUUUUAUGCUUAUAUAUAUAUAUGUCUUUUGCUUAGUGUGUUUAAUAAAUAAAUAAAGUGGCUAUGCUAAUCUGUAUCUAAAUAAAACUUAAGCAUGGAUAUGAUGAAAAGUUGCUCUGCCUAAUUUGCAAAUUUUAAGUUCUCUCUCAAGUUUAGACAUAACAGUUAUAAUUUAAAGCUUGCUCUAGACCUAAACUUGUGGGAUAAAAACUUGAUCUAAAGUCUAAGUUGUUAACGGAUACGAUAUGGGAAGGUUGAGCUGCUGUUUAUCUGUUCCUAGAGAUGCUAGAAUUCUGGAGAAUUUAUCUUUGAAAAUCUUUAAAAUAUUGCAUGAUGAGUUCCUGUAUGAUGAGAGCUUAAAUUCCUACCACAGCCAUAUAUACAUGCUUGCUAGACUUUGAGCCACACAUUUACUAUUUACUGCUUAUUAGCAUUGAGUGUGGUCAAGCUGUGUAGACCCUUAGGAGCUUGUCAUGUGGUUAAAUCAAGAUUUCACUUGCACGUUCACUCAUAUAUGCUACUUCUAUUCCGGAAGUACCAUCCACAUAUAUCCACCCAUUCCAUCACCAGAAUCACCUAAAAAUAUUCUACUCCUAAUCCGGGAGAGAAUAACCAAAAAUAUUUCUGUUUUCCCCUUGUGAAAUAAAUGCUCAAGUUAUCUUGUUACUACCACUUGCUAUAUUAUCUCAAGAGAUGAGUGCUCUAAAAAAAAGAGAGAGAAGAAAAAAAUAAUAAUGCGAGGAAAUAAAAAGGAGCAAGUGCUCGGAACCUCGAAAGAAAAGAAAAAGUGAGACGAGAGGUAAAAAUGGACAAGUGUCCGACAGUAGAAUUAGGGGUGCAAGAUACCCACCUGAGAGAAAAGAAAAAGAAGAGCAUCUCAUUCUCCUCAUAAAGUUUCAAAAGCAAGGAAGGUAUGUAUCCCCUCAAAGAGCAAUGUAGAAUUAGACUUUCACCACCAUUGUUUUCACCAUUGUUAUCACCAUCAUCACCAUAUACCAUUCAUUCGCCACACAUGCACAUCUUGAUUAAACUUAUUGACUUGUUACUUUGCAUCCAUGGUUUGACUAUGCAAUACAUGUCUUGUAAGUAUGUAUACUUUAUCUCCCACCUAUGAGCUCCAGAUAUUAAAGCCUUAUUAGAGUAGGAUGAGAGAGAAGGCAAUGUCACUAUGCCUUAUACCCCAAAUACCACAUAUCUUGAGAGAAGGCAUAUACCAUCAAUGCCUUGGUAAGGAUCCAAAAAUACCACAAAAGAGAGACCUGAGAGAAUCAUAUAAGGAAUCUGUGAGUUUUAUUUGAAAAUCUGCAAAAACCCCAGAGCUAUAGCUGAUCAAGAAUAAGAGACAUGGCACUUGGCUAGACUGUUCUAUCUUUUAACCACUCAAGACAGAAGUGACAGCUACAAGUCCCAUGGUGAAGGUAAAGUAAGUAAGUUUUAAGUCUUGACAGUUUACUCUAACUCAGAGAUGAGAUCUUAUUUAAAAGCAUGUGUACCGUCAAAUUUUUAAAAGAUAUUGCAACAACUUAUGAUCCAUAGCUGAGUCUAUCCUUGCUCAGGGACGAGCAAGAGGUAAGCUUGGGGGAGUUUGUUGACGGUCCUUAAGUAUCAAAUUUAAUUAUCAAAUAAAUAAAGAAAAGGAUCCAAAUGAAAUAAAGAUCUAGACUUAGGGUUUUAUCUGACAGAAUUCCACGAGUUUUGGUGUUUGUCUAUUUCUGCAGGGAGUUAUCAGGAAAUAUGGAAGAAAGGCCCACAUGUCAGGAUUACAUAAAGAUAUUAACGUGUUGCGCAAUUAUCUUACAUCUAGAAGACUCCAGAAGCCACGAGACCGAAGCGGAGGCGAAUCGGGGCCAGAGACAGGGCGCCCGCCCUGCCCCCAAGUCCAAUCAGGACUCUGCUUUGCGGGAAGUCUCCACCGACCUAAAGGAUGAAUCUAAACCAUACAAUCAAUGUCGGUUUGAUCCAAGGGCCCAUAUUCACUUGAAGGGACAAUAAAACCAGACCCCCUGGCCCCUGUAGGAGAGAGCCUCUCAACCCUAAUUCAUUGUUCCAUCAAGGGAGAAGAAGCCUCUGAUCAAGAUUAGAGCCACCACAUCAAUUAGAUAUCUAGAUUAGCAUAGCUACAUAGGAUUAGAACUAGAAGGAGUCAAUCUUCGAUUGGUUUCCGGAUCUGUCCGGAGGAUUCUUGGUAAUUCUCUAAUUGUGUUUCUAAUUGCUUUCUAAUUAUCUUUGUUCUUCAAUAUUAUAAAUAUGACUUUGUUCUACUUCAAUAUAUUGCUUAUGACUUUGCUCUAUUUGCUCAUAUUCAAGAUUAUAUUGUUCUUAGUUUAUCAUAGUUAUGUACUUGGCUUAGUUAGAUACGAUCUAUAUACAUGCUUAGGAUCGUAUAGCGUUUAUCCAUCGGAUCCAUGGGUAAAUGAUAGAUAUUGUGUAGGCGUGGUGCUUAUACCGUAUUUAUCUGCGAUUGUACCCAAUAUGCCAGAUCGUGGGGUGGUUCGUGAUAGUGACAGCUUCAUUGAUUCUUAUAUAGUCCCCCUCUCGUGUAUUGGGCUGGCAGAGCAACAUUAUUACAGGGGAGUGAUUGCUAUGUUUCUCAUAUUCCUUGCUAAUAUCACUAUGCAUGGGCGUAGUCUUGUCUCACAAUGAUUGCUAAGUAUGCUUGCACUAACUAUGAUAUGCUAGACUAUAUAGUUGAGAAUAACUUAGGGAAUAUUCUUGUAGUUCGUUCUAAUACCAAGCUAAUGACUUUCUAGAGUAUCUAAUUGAGGUUCUUAUCAUAUUUCUUAUGUGGCUAGAUCAGAUUAGUUAUCCUUGUCACUAUUAUCAUUUCAUAUAUCUUUUAUGUGACACUUAUCCCUGUAUGAUGAGUUAGAUAUAAUGUUCUCAAUUAUACAUGCAAUGAUAGAUGCUCAAUCUCAUAUUCUAUUCUAUAAUCAAUAGUGAUGAUUGCUAAUCCCUUCCCAGUGGUAAAAAUAUAAAUAACGAUACCUGGAAUACUUCCCGGUUAAAAUGCUACAUCGGUAUUAAUCUGUGCGCUUGCAGAUCCCAUUCAUUAUUUAUUUAGAAGAGCAAUUGCAUAUUUCAAUACCGCGUCUCUUAUAUCAUGCUGGGGAUGACAACUUGGCUUAAGUGGUGUAAGGGAUAGGUUUGGCAUUUUUGGCACCGUUGCUAGAUUUAGAACUUAGUCUACUUUUAGUAAUGAUGUUAAGAAUACCCAACAAACACCACAACAAACUUAUCCAAUUCUGGCAUAAAGACUGAAUUCGUCAGAUACAUAAAGUAUGCAGGAGCAUUCGUCAAUCCAAAGGACAUGACAAGAUACUCAUACAACCCAUAUCUGGUAGAAAAAGCAGUCUUCGGGAUAUCUUGCGGACGAAUCUUGAUUUGAUGAUAACCAGACCUCAAAUCUAUCUUAGGAAACACUCUUGCCUUGGACAACUGAUCAAACAGGAUAUCAAUCCUUGGCAAAGGAUACUUAUUCUUGAUUGUUACUGCAUUGAGUGGACGAUAGUCCACGCACAUGCGCAACGAUUGAUCCUUCUUCUUCACAAACAACGCUGGACAACCCCAUUCCGACGAGCUUGGCCGGAUGAACCCUUUAUCCAGUAACUCUUUUAGUUGAUUCUUCAGCUCAGCGAGUUCGUUUGGGGGCAUCCGAUACGGCCUUCUAGAUAUUGGUGCUGUACCCGGUAUUAACUCGAUUGCAAACUCCACUUCCCUAUCUGGGGGAAGUCCUGGUAAAUCCUCAGGAAACACAUCAGGGAACUCACGGACCACGGGUAUGUGUUCUAGUGGAACUACCUGCACUGCACACGAAAGACUAGCGAAGUCCAACCGUCUGGGUAGCUUGACCUGAAGCACACCCUUCCCUUGCGGGUCUCUAAGGGAAAGAGUUCUAUUCCCGGCAUCUAUAACCGCACCCCAGUCAGUCAUCUUGUUCAUUCCAAUGAUGACAUCCAAAACCAGCCUUGGCAUGACCACAAGGUUUACACGAAACCUCCGGCCACUAAUAUCCAAAGUAACUCCUGUUACUGUUUUAUUGGUCAACACAUCGGCUCCGGCCGAGCUGAUGCGAUAGCCAUAACCUAACUCAGUAACUGGCUGGUUAUGCUUUUGUGCAAAUGCUUGGCUCAUGAAUGAAUGCGAUGAUCCAGAAUCAAACAAAACAACUGCGAGAUGUUGGUUGACAGAGAACAUACCACCUGUUACCGGUUCUCCUUCCGGGAUCUCCUCGAUCGAGGUAUGGUGCACACGAGCUGGAUAGGUUGGCUGCUGCCUCUUGGGGUAGGGACAUUCCUUAGCAAAGUGCCCCAUCUUGUGGCAGUUAUAGCACGGACCCUUGGGUGCAUUGUUGACAGCCGGUGCUGCAGCUUGAAUUGCCUUUGGCUUGGCAGGGGCUAUCGCCACCUUGUACGGCUUCUGCUGUGUUGGAUGCCCGGUGUUCCUCCUUUGCGGCGGUCGGAACCUAGCACCUGGGGCAGGAGGACGAUACGGCUGUCGCCCUGCCACUAGUGCCCUGGACUGAGAUGACCCGGCUUCAAAAGCCCUCUUACGUGACUUGGAUGCACUAUAGUUGUUGUUGUUGUUCUCCUGGGUGAGACAGUCACUGAUAUAGGCAUUGAAAGUAGCCCUGGCCCCUGUACCCAUGGUUUUCAGCAUCUUUGGAUUCAAGCCUCUCUGGAAACUGGCAAUCUUCUUGGCCUCCGUGUUUACAAACUCAGGGGCAUAGCGAGCGAGAUUGUUGAAAGCGUGUAGAUACUCCUUCACAGACUUCGUCCCCUGAGACAGCCUCAUGAACUCCCCAACUUUCAUUUCAACCACACCCGGAGGAAUAUAAUUUCCCCGGAAAGCGGUGGUGAAGCGGUUCCAGGUAAUUGGGGUCCCCUCUGGGUAGGUGGUACGGUGAUGGGACCACCAAAUCCCAGCGGGUCCUUGUAACUGAUGUGCCGCAUACUCAGCCUUGAGUUCUUCUAUCAUUCGGAGAAGACGAAACUUCUGCUCCAUGGUGUUGAUCCACUCAUCUGCUUCGAGCGGUUCCAAAGCCUCUUUGAAGAUUGGUGGCUUAGUGUCCAUGAAGUCCUUGAACAAACUGUACUGGUUGACUUUAUGGCCGCCCUGGUUAUCCCCACGACGGGUGUUGUCAGCUAUGUUACGCAGAGCCUCUUCCAUGUUGCGUUGCAUCUGUUCCAUGUUGCGUUGGCUCCCCAGAAACUGCGUGAAAAACACGUCCGCAGUGUACGGAGGAGGCGGUGGUGGUGGCGGUGUUGGUGCUCUGUCCUCAUUCCAUUGGGCCCCACCUCCAGACGUACCUGCUCCUAGGCCUGGGUUGCUGUUACCCCCGCCAUGUGUUUGCACCAUCUGCAUAAGCCAAUGAUAAGCAAUCGUUAAGAGUUGCCAUCAACGGUAGAAAUGUGUAGAAUCAUGCCGUACUGAAUUUACUGAGGGAAUAAAUUCACACAAUAAACAGAGGCACAACAACUCAUCAUCCACGCACAACAUCACUAACAGAUUACUUAACAUUCACGCAACAUGGUUCGCGUACAUCCAACUUGCCAGCAUACAUAAACUGGACUUUCAGCAUUAACUCAUAAAGUCUUACAUAGCCCAGAUCCAAAAGUACACGACAUGCCAUGCAACAUACAACACAAAAGAGAAAAGACUAGCUCUAGAGCCCUAGCAUCUAGUCGCUAUGAUCACUGUCCAUGCCGGAGCCAUCCUCAUCGUCAUCUCCACUAGCAGCUGCCCCUAUCUCGGGAUCCGCGUCCAUCUCAUCCUCAGAGUCUAGCUCAGCUGCUCCAGGUAGGUGGUGAGGGUGGAGCUGGUUAUGCAGCUGGUGGAUCUCCUCAUGCAAGUUCUCAUUGUACUCCUCAGCAUUGGCUAGCUGCUGCUCUAGCUCCAGCUGUCGGGCCCUCAAAGUGUCCUCCUCGUGCCAGGCUUCAUUCCUCUGUCCAAGCACAUGGACUAGCAUGCGCUCGCAGUUCCUGUGAGCAGUGGUCACCCUGUCCCUCUGCUCACGCACUGCAAGCAGGUCCUGACUCAGCUCACUGUUCUUCUGAACUGCCUGGUCUCUCUCUCUAGAUACACGGGCCAACUCUGCCUGUAGCCUCUCCACCUCAGAGUCAAACUCACGCUGCAACUGACGCUUCUCAUCCUGGACAGUGAGAAGAGACCCGGACAAGCGACCCAAACAACGCUCUAGGCCUCCAUAGGUCUUCAUCAACGCGUACAUGGCACUCAUAGCUGCACCGUCACUGUGUUGGUCCUCAUCCGCACUCCUCUCUAGAGCAUUCACCUCGGACUGAUCCCACACCGAAGUGUAAGGGUCACCCCGGGGAAACACCCCAGCGAAGGCGUGGGCCAGCUCCUGUGGAAACCUCUCCAUGAGGUCCCUCAGAACUGCGAAAGCUGCCCUGCUGGCACCGUGGAAAGGCGUGACACCUCGAGACUCAUACACCCAACCGCCCCAAGCAGGGUCUCCUCCACUGGUAGGGACAACUGCCUCAAUCCCCACUAGGGUCUCGUCACCAAGCGGCUCCUUAUCCCAAUAGUGGCGAGGCUCCCUUCCUUCGGGAUACCCCAUCGAACUGAGCACCCUCCAAAGCAAAGUGGGCAUCCCAAACUCCUCCAGGAACUUGCUCUUAUGUCGCGAGCUCCUAGCUGCCAACGGAUGGCGAGGGGCCCGCCCACCAGUGGACUUGCGAGCGGUGAGCCUAGUGCGUGCCAUCUGCUGCAAAUGGAAUACCGUGGGUAAGAGCGAGGAUUACCUUUAUUUAUUUUAUUUAGAAUUGGGACAGAUUAAAUUAAGGAGGAAAGUAAGCAAUGAUAAGAAAUGAUCAUGAUGCAUGCACGAACUUACGAUCUCACAAACUUAGAAAACAAAGGUUAACACUAAGCGGUAUAUGCGGUGGCAUACAACGUUCUCUCAUAACGUAACUAACGUUCUAAGUGAGAACGUGGUUAGUGUACCUGCAGAAAACUCAUUUCAGCCCACCCACAGUAUGAUCGUGCAGAACAAGAAUUUUUAACUAUGCACUUCACAUACACAGACACCCGUCCAUGCAUGUGACGUGUCACUACCCACGUCAUCGCCCUAAUGACGGCAUCGCCUCUCAAGACGGAAUUCCCAACAUGCGAUACUGUUCCCAAGACACACCAAACAUGUGUGCAUGACACAGCACUUAACAACACUCUCCUAGACCGGCAGUGUAUCCGAUCUUGCUCUCACAGCUCCCACUUACCGUGGCGUGGAGGAAAAAUUGAUCCAUACAUUACCACUCAAAUGAAUGGCACUCAUACUAUUGCACGCCGUAUGAGCGACGAAAUAAAAAUAUGAUGCAUUAACCCCCAAGUCAGUACUUAACUAGCCACCUUAGAGUCCUUAACUGGGCAUAAAGGAUAUGACCAUGGCACACUAGAUAAUUUUUCCAAAACAUAGUUUAACACCUUGAUCAUUAUUAAUUAAUUAAGAAAAAUCUUUUAUUAAUCCGGUUUAGAUUUUGUGUUUAGAACGUACUUAUGAACAGUAACCCGCUAAACCUUGCUCUGAUGCCAGCUGUAACAGAACCGACCAAAUUAAAAGAGAUUAAGCCUAAUAGUGACCAUUUGCAUAGUCAAACCAACAGGCUUAAACCCAUAUAAUCCCGGUAGUCCGUGAAAUCUCGAAGGAUUUCAAACCACACAUCGCAUAACAGACAAGAUCGUAAUAAGUUUAGCGGUCGCCAUCCACAAAUACCUCCAGAUUACAACAUUCAUAAAUACAUCGGAGUGCUUAGGUUAUUACAAACCAAGUUCUUCAAGUAGCGGAAGCUUCAUAGUUCGAAAAUACAACACACACACUUAGUCUGAUACAGUGCCAUAGUGUGGUCAUUCCCACAAAAGCAAAAAAAGAGACGGAGUGACCAUCGCCCUUGGUCUAGUCAUCACCCAUGGCGGGGUACAGACAGAGGAUGCAAUAACCAUAGUACAUUUGACCAUCUGCAAAACAACAUGGGAAUAUAACCCUGAGUACGAGAAGGUACUCAGCUAGACUUACCCGUCAUAAACUUAAAAUAAAGACUCAUCAAGGAUCAUGAAGGCUAUAUAGUGGGGUAGCUGACAACCAUUUCGCAAAACCGCAGGAUUUUCUUAUCCUAUCCUACAUAAAACUUUUCUUCUUUUAAUUUUGCUCAGGUUGGAAGUAGCUUUACCUAUUAUCUAGGUUUGCACCUGUACUAUUACAAGCAAGUAUAAGGCUAUGAUAGUACCUCAUCACAGCAUUCCUUGAAAACUAUUCAUCAAUAUAACCCAAGUGUUCCAUAGUUCUUACUACGAGGACAGGGCUCAUGUCAAGUGCUCACUAUCCAGGAGCGAUGGCGAUUCGAAUCGAUUUCUAACCAACUGGCGAGUUUAUUCCCCACACAAACCACACUCACUGAUCAAGUGAGCUACAGAUCACCGUAUUGCACUAUCCAGGACCAAUUCGCGGGUUCGACAGGCACCGCCCGUACCCGAGGACCGUUCCGGCGACCGAGGUAUCCAAGGUAUACCAAGGUUGCGCGCUGCGCCCUCGUCGUUCUCCUCAACCAUCACCAAUACAGCGCGUACAUCGGGCCGAUUCCCGGCCCGAAUAGUGCUCAGGCUUCGCGGUCGGAACGACUUAUCCUUCCAGCUAAAUGUGGGACAUGCGUUCAACAUGACAAGAGGGACAUCAACGAUCGGUCCUUAAUCGACACAGGCAGGGGCACUAUGGUCGGUGAUCCGGACACUCCUACAGUUCCUCUCCGGGUUCCUGUGCUUCCGGAGGUUCCUGCUCCUGAAUCUCCUCUGGCUCCUCGGGUCCCACUUCGUUCUCCUGCGAGCCUGUAUGAUGCAUGGGUGCUCAUGAGUGGAAUGCGAGAUGCCCGAGUGGAUGCUUGUAUGAGAAAGUACCAAAGGAGUCAUGACAUGAUGCAUAGGUGAUGCACUUGGUCAUGCUUAUUACAAGGUAGUCAACAUUAUCCAAGAAUAAACAAUUGAAUCAAACAUCUACUGCAUGCUCUUCUACAAUUAUUUUUCAAAUGCAACCAGCAACCCACAUGAUGCUUCAAAGAUACAUCAAACCCAACUUAUUCCAUUCAACCUAUAUAUACAACCAUUCAAAAUUUUCUUUAUUCAUUUCUAGGCCCAUAAAGAUUACAUGCAAUUCUGUUUAUCAAUAAAUUCCACAAAAAUUACAGGAGACUACCAGCUAAGUAUAAAGUCUAGUGUAAAUUUUUCAUGAUUUUUGGAUACUUAUUUUGAGCCACAAAAAUCACAAGAUUAAUUAAUAAGGCAAGUAUAACCACUCUACUGGGAUACAAGUGUCAAACAACAGAUUUCAUAUUUUUACAAUUCGUAUAAUAUCAUAAGAAACACCCACAAAAUUUUCCAGAUUUAUUGCAUGACCCAAUUAAUUAUUAAAAAUCAUAAAUCACUGCCAUGCAAGCAUUUAAAUUACCAUAAAUUCAUUUAUACACCAAAUAAUAUGUAGCAAUAUUUUCCCAGUGAGUAAACAUACAUGCAAAGCCAACAAAUCAAGUUUCAUAUUUUUCUGAGCCAUAUUUUAUUUACUUAUGCAUUUUCUAAGUUUAGCAAAACAUAGAUUAAUUAUAUUCACACAGAAAAGUUACUCAAACAUGACAUGCGAACAUACUAGGCUAUAGAUCUGGAAAUAAGUAACACACCAAAAUUUAUUUCAUUCAAUUUGGAGCUGUAGAACUCAAGAUAUAGAUUUUACAAACUUUAAAUCAAUUUCUGGAAAACACUUUUUCAAGAAAACCGACGAAAAAGGCUACGCACACCCAGAUCUACACCCACCGGGGUACCCCUGCGACUGACAGUGGGUCCCCGACCCCACCGGUCAGCGAGACCGAGAGAGAGCUCACCUCCGACGAGCAGAUCUCGCCGGCGGUGAGGUCUCCGGCCACGGGGUGAGCACCAACGUGCUCCCCGCAGCAAGGCGCACCCAACGGUACCCUUGGAUUGGCCGGAGGGUGACCGGAACACCUCCGACGAGCAUGCAUGGCGACACGGCGGCACUGCUCGCGGUGGCCAGGCCGCUCCGGCGUGGUAGAGCGUGCGCAAAUGGCUCUCCGAGCUUCCUCACCACCCUACCGACCUAGCGCGACAAAGAACGAGCGAAAAGAGGCAGAGAAACGCUAGAUCCAUCGCGGCGGAGUACUCCAGCGAGCUCGGGGUAACUCCGGCGAGCGAUUCAUGGCGCUCGACGGACUCUCACCUCGGUAGAACGUUCGCACGAGCUUACCCUAGCGACGGCGAGUGCGCUAGUGCUCUUGGCGUCGAGGUUGGGGCUCUGGUGCGACCGGCGGUGAGCGGCGGAGCUUUCUCCGGCAAUGACGCGCGGAGGAGCUGCUGCUGCUGCACGGUGCGAGCGGAGGAGGAAGGGAGAGAGGGAGACAGGCGACAGAGUGGAGGGAGGUGGUCUGGGAGCCCGAGCCGGCGUCCCGACCAGGGGGGUUGGAGGCCGGCCGCGGCGCGUCCAACGCCGGCGUACGGCCGCCACGUGGCCGGCGCCGGGUGGAGCGAGGCGCGUCCGCGCGUGGGAGAGAGAAGAAGGGGGAGGCAGGCUGGGCCGCUCGCUGGGCCGAAAGGGAAGCGGGGUUGGCCCAGCAGUGCCUGCCCCUUUCUUUUUUUUCAAAUUCUUUUCUAAAUUCAUUUGGGCUAUUUAAAAAUCAUUUUCACCUCUUGCUCCCAAAAACAAAGUUGUCCCAAAAUAAAAACUCUACAACUUUGCUUUAAUAAGCAAGACCAAAUUCCCAAUAGAAUUUGAACUACAAAUUAAAACUUAGUUCUAGGUUUUUAAAUAAAUCCAAUUUGGAAAUUUUGUAUAAAUUACAUUUCUCAAUUUCUAUAGCUCCAAAAAUUGCACAAAAAUAUUCUUAAUUCUUCUUACACAUAAAUCAACCUAGUUUGGAUAUUUCACAAUUUUGGAAGCAAGUGUCAUAUUUUUAGCAUAUUUAAAACUCAUGAAAUAAAGCACAUAAAAUCAUACUUGAGAAGAAUGACAUGCUCAUGAUGCUUAUGCUUGAUGAGGAUGCUUAUGCAUUGCUUUGACAAGGCUAAGUGCAUGCUUAACACCUAGGGUGUUACAAUGUAUCCCCUCAAAAGAGCAAAAUUAGAAUUAGAACUUUCACCAUUGUUAUCACUAUCAUCACCAUACACCAUUUAUUCACCACACACGCACAUCUUGAUUUGACUUAUUGACUUGUUUCUCUGGAUCCAUGGUUUGACUAUGCAAUAAAUGUCUUGUAAAUAUGUAUACUUUAUCUCCCACCUAUGAGCUCCAGAUAUCAAAAGCCUUAUUAGAGUAGGGUGAGAGAGAAGGUAAUAUCACUAUGCCUCAUACCACAAAUACUACAUACUAUUAGAGAAGGCAUAUACCAUCACUGCCUUGGUAAGAAUACAGAAAUACCACAAAAGAGAGAUCUGAGAGAGUCAUACAAUGAAUCUUUGAGUUUUAUUUGAAAAUCUGCAAAAACUCCAGAGCUAUAGCUGAUCAAGAAUAAGAGACAUGGCUCUUGACUAGAAUCAUUCUAUAUUUUAACUGCUCAAGACAGAAGUAAUGGUUACAAUUCCCAUGGUGAAAGGUAAAAUGAGUAAGUUUUAAGUCUUGACGGUUUACUCUGACUAAGAGAUGAGACCUUAUUUGAAAGCAUGUGUACCAUCAAAACUCAAAGACAUUUCAGCAACUUCUGAUCCAUCACUAAGAUUAUCCUUGCUCACGGACGAGCAAGAGGUAAGCUUGGGGGAGUUUGUUGACGGUCCUUAAUUAUCAAAUAUAAUCAACAAAUAAACAAAGAAAGGGAUCCAAAUGCUACUGACACCCAGACUUAGGGUUUUAUCUGACAGAAUUCCACGAGUUUUGGUGUUUGUCUAUUUCUACAGGGGGUUAUCAGGAAAUAUGGAGGAAAUGCCCACACGUCGGGUUUACAUAGAGAUAUCAAUGUGCACCGCAAUUAUCCAACAUCUAGAAGAGUCCAGAAGCCACGGGAACGAGUAGGAGGCCGAGCGGACCCGGGGGCAGGGCGCCCGCCCUGGCCUGAGAGCCAAUCAGGCUCCGCCUCACAGAUCAUGCUCCACCGACCUAAGGGAUUAAGGAAAACCAUGCGAUUAAGGUCGGUUUGAUCAGACGGCCCACAUUCAUUUGGAAGGUCUAUAUAAGCAGACCCCCUGGCCCUUGGAGGAGAGGAGAAGAGAACCCCUAAUUCAUUCAUCCAUCUCGGGAGAACAAGUCUCUGAUCAAGCCCUAGAGCCACCACAUCAACUAGAUCUCUAGUUUAGCAUAGCUACAUAGGAUUAGAACUAGAAGGAGUCAAUCUUCGAUUGGUUUCCGGAUUUGUCAACAGGAUUCAUGGUAAUUCCUCUACUGUUCUUCAUUUGUUCAUCAUUGUUCUUCAAUACUAUGAAUAUGACUUUGUUCUACUUCAAUAUAUUGAUUAUGACUUUGCUCUACUUGUUUAUAUUUGUAAUUAUAUCGUUCUUAGUUUAUCAUAGUUAUAUGCUUGGCUUAGUUAGAUUGGAAUUAUAUACAUGUUUAUGAUCGUAUAGUGUUUAUCCAUGUGUACAGAGGGUAAAUGAUAAGUAUUGUGUAGGCGUGGUGCCUAUACCGUAUUUAUUUGCGAUUGUACCCUAUAUGUUGGAUCGCAGGGUAAUUCAUGGUGGUGACAGCUCCAUUGAUUCUUAUAUAGUCCCCCUCUCGUGUAUAGGGUAGGCAGAGCAACAUUAUUACAGGGGAGUGAUUGCUAUGUUUCUCAUCUUACUUGAUAAUAUCACUAUGCAAGGGCGUAGUCCUGUCUCGCAAUGAUUGCCAAGUAUAAUUGCACUAACUAUGAUAUGAUAGACUUUAUAGUUAAGAAUAACUUAGGAAAUAUUCUUGUAGUUCAUCCUAAUUCAAUGCUAAUGACUGGCUAGAAUAUCUGUUGAGGUGCUUCUCAUUAUUAUAAGUGGCUAGUUAUGCUGAUCAGAUUAAUUAUCUUUGUCACCAUUCAUACUUUAUCUAUAUUUUAUGUGACAUUUAUUCCUGUAUGAAAGAGAUAGAUAAAUACUCUCUAUUAUACAUGCAAUGUUAGAUACUCAAUUCCAUAUUCCAUUCCAUAAUCAACAUUGAUGAUUAGCAAUCCCUUCCUAGUGAUAAAAAUAUAAAUAACGAUACCUAGAAUACUUCCCGGUUAAAAUGCUACAUCGGUAUUAAUUUGUGCGCAUGCAGAUCUCGUUUAUUAUUCAUUUAGAAGAGCAAUUGCAUAUUUCGAUACCGCGUCUCUCAUGUCAUGGUGGGGAUGACAACUUGGCUUAAGUGGCAUGAGGGAUAGGUUCAGCAUUUUUGGCGCCGUUAUCAGAAAUAGAAAACUAAGUGUACUUUUGGUAAUGACGUUAAGAAUGCCCAACACCAAUGGCAUAAAAGAUAGUAGGAAAGUCGAUGCUCAUACCUGAUUGGUCCAAGAAUUGCUCGUCAAAGACGGUGGUGUGGUUGAAGCCGCAAGUGCUAAGGGUGUAGAGCUUCCCUAGCUCUUCAUGAGUGAGCAAGUGGUUGUCCUGGGGCUCCAGUAUCCUAUCAGCGGGGAUGAAGGGAACAAGUGUGUGCAGUUGUUCCUCCUCCACUCUCUCUUGGCUCCUACUCUCGGAGUGGUGAGAGCUCGAGGAUGAGCCCUCACCCUUCCUCUUUUUGGUGAGCUUGGCAGAGAUGAAUUUCUUCAUGCUAGCUUCACCGAACAAACAAGACCAAGCUUCCUACUUGUUGACACUGUUUUUCGACACGUAUCUAGAAAGAUAAUUGAACUAGAAUCUGCAGGCAAAAAGCGAUGACUGGUUGACAAAGGAGUUGCCGAUGGCUUGUGAUGCCGAUGAUAAAGCAGCAGGAUAUGAUCAAGUCCAAGGGCGGUGGUUGACCUUUGCCGAUGGUUGAUGUUUGCGAUUGCCGAUGCCGAUGGAGGGUGAUUUGCCGAUGAUAGCGGAAGAGGGUACAGUGAUUGUCGUGAAGAUAAUGGUGGUGUGCCGAUCGCCUAGGGUAAAUAAAUUAAUGUUUUCCAUAAAUAUUAGAGCUUUUUUUGUGUACGGAUUCCGUUUAGUUUGGAAUUAGAAUCCUAGUCGUGUCUGAUUGUAGCUCUUUUAGACAGGGUAUAAAUGUAGACCUGGUAGCGAUGCAUGUAAUUACAAUCCAAUCAAUCAAAUACAAGUUUUUACAUCUACUCCAGCAUCUACUUUUUGACGACUUCGUCACCUCUCAUAUUUUCUCUUUACUUACGAGUUAUUAGGAAUUCAUCGAGUCAAACUCGGUGAGUUCUCAAGUUCCACGUGAAUACCUCUUGGUCAUGGCAUCCGGGCGCAUCGCUUUUGUCAGGACCAAAGUAUUCGAGUUAUCACCUUUGUUGGUUGUAAGGUUAAUUUGGCUGGCACGCCUUAACGUUGAAUCGGGUAUUAUCCCUUUGUGUUUGUAGAUCCACUUUUGCAUCAACAUAUCUUUUGGCAUGCCCAGUGGGACAGAUCUAUCAUCAAGAUCAACAUGUCCAACACUGAUUUCGACAUGGAAAACAUGAUUACUGUAACCGAGGCUAAUCUCAGAGAUGAGCAGAAGCAAGCUAUGACAAAAGCUAUGGAGCAAUACAAGCAGCUAUGUUUGAAAUCCUUCAAUGUCAAUAGGAGAAGCGAGGUAAUCCAAAAGGAAGCAUUGCCGAUGCCUCGGCAAAUCACUUUUGAAGCCAUUCCUGGUAAAUUGCAAGAGAUGGUUGAGAAUGCUAUUAAUCGUGCUUUGAUCAAUCAAUCCAGUGUGCUGUCCAAUACUGUUUUCAAUGUUGUGGCUAGAACUUUCAAAGAGGGACAGAUACCACAAUCAUAUAUGGGCCCGGCCUAUCAUCAGCCAGGAUCAUCAUCGGUUAUGGCUCCAUCGGCUCCUCCAGCCGUUGCGGGUACAGAAGCUACUUCUCCGCCAAGCACAUUAGGGAUGACUAAUGGGCAAUCUACACCAAUGACGACUAAUCCAGCAACAUCAGAAGGAUGGGUUCAACUUAACACAGAUCUAUCAACAUCGGCAAUGUAAGGAUCUGCGUUUCAGAAUUGCCAAGUUCCUCCCAAUUGGUGGGGAUACGGUAUGCCUCCAGACUUUUUUACAAAUAGUUCUGGAACAUCUUAGGUGGCUGACUUGGUAGGAAAAGCUCCUAUGACAUCGGCACCUCCAGUUUCACUCAUGCCUCAAAACCCUCAGUACUCUACUACUGCAAGGCCUAUUAUAGGAGGGUUUCAGAUGCCGACAUUCCAAGUGCCUAAUGCAUCGGUGGAUCCACUGCCGACGCACCAGAGGUUUAUGUCUCAGACAGGGUAUGUUAACCCAAUGCUGACUCCCAAUUAUCAGCCAUCGGCAGGGCCUGCGCUGAGGAAUGCUAACACUGGGUGGACAGGAUAGUUUGUCUUUCCACAAAUGACACAAUAGAACCAUCAGGCUGUGGGAUUCCAGCAUGGACAGAUGCAAGUUGGUUUUCAGAAUCAAGGACCAGCAAAUCAGCCAAUGAAUUUCACUCAGAUGGUUGGCCAACUGGCUGUGGCUAAUGCCAUGUUCCCUGGAGAUCGUGCACCUCAAACGCACGUGGAAGCUUAUCAGUAGGCGCUAGCACCUCAACCUGUACAUCGGCAAGAUGUCGAUGUCUAUAGGGCUGAUAAGAUAGUAGAAGUUAUGAGAGAUUAGUGCAGGAUAAAACCAAAGGUCAAUACUUAUUCUUAUCGGACACCGUACCCUCCAGCAUAUGACUUGAUCUCGCUUCCAAAUCGGUACAAGGUGCCAGAUUUCACUAAAUUCUCUAGACAAGAUGAUACGUCAACUAUGUAGCAUGUCAAUAGGUUCAUCAUCCAGUGUGGAGAAGCUGCUAAUAUUGAUGAGUUAAGGGUCCGUUUGUUAUCAUCAUAUUUGUCUGGAUCGCCCUUUACUUGGUUCAUUUCAUUGCCUCCAAACUCAGUAAUUACUUGGGCCGAUCUGGAGAAGCAGUUCCAUAAGUACUCCUUUUCUGACGUUCAUGAGAAGAAGAUUACCGAUUUAGUCAGGUUGAGGCAACGCAAUGAUGAAUCGGUUGAAAGUUUUAUUCAAAGGUUGCGGGAUGUCAAGAAUAAAUGCUACAGUUUUGUUCUGGAUGAUCGGCAACUAGCCGAUUUGGCUUUCCAAGGAUUGUUGCCACAUAUCAAAGAUAAGUAUGCUUCCCAAUAGUUUGGAAGUCUAAGUCACAUGGUGUAGAGGAUUUCUAAUCAGGAUAUCAAGGCUUUUGAACCAAGAAAAGCUUGGAACAAGAAGGUGUCAUUUGUUGAUGAGGCAACAAGUUCGGAUUCUGAUGAAGAACCAGUCAUCGGCUUGGCAGAGUGGGUGAAGAACAAAAAGCCAAUGUCUUGCCCUUUUGGUCAUAAGGAACCAGAAAAGUUUGCUUUUGAUAUUACUAAGGCCGAUAGGAUAUUUGAUUUUCUACUUCAGGAGGGGCAAAUUAAAUUAUCACCAAAUCAUGUGAUCCCAUCGGUAGAAGAAUUGAAAAAGAUCAAGUACUGUAAGUGGAAUAAUGCAACAUCUCAUAGUACAAAUGAGUGCAAAGUAUUCAGGCAACAACUUCAAUCGGCUAUAGAAUCUGGGAGAAUUAAAUUUGAUAAAUCCAAAGCUCAGAAGCUGAUUAAGAUUGAUUAGCAUCCUUUCCCCGCAAACAUGCUGGAUGCCAAGGGAAAGACCAAAGUCUUGACGUCGGAAGCUGCUGAGAAGAGCGCAUCGGUAGAUCCCCAGCAUCAGAUCACUGCCGAUGACGCUAAUGGCAAGGGCUUGAUCCGGCAUUGUGAUCACCCAUAGGCGUUAUCGAGAGACAUGUCAGCAACGAGAGGAUCAGUAUCGCCGCCAACACGAGGAUCGUCGACGAGAAGAAGAAAGAUGCCGACAAGAGUGGAAUCGGCAUAAAGAUCGUUGGAAUUGCCCGUUCUUCAUCCACUAUUGGGAGCAAAAUAUCAAAUUACCGACUGUCAGAGACUACCCUAAAUGCAAUGGCUAUAAUCGGCAUGAUCAGUCAGAUCAGCACUAUCAGAACAAUGAUCGACGAUUCGAUGGGCCGAUUAGAGGGAGGACGUCAGUUCAUGAUCGGCUGGGGGGCAGGCUUAGUGUGCAUGACAGGCUUAGCGAAUGUGUUGGCUAUUUUCCAAGAAACCAAGAGGAGCUUGAGGAGAUGGCAAAUGCAUGAGUUCCCGAUGAGUUUAUAUUUUGCAGGGAUGCUAAUACUUAUCGAGUGGAAUCAAGGGAGGCUCGUUAUCAACCGGUGCGGAGGACACAACUUCCCCAGUGGUGUCCGGAGGAAUUGACAAGGACACAGAAGAGGAGCUUGCAGCGAGAGUGACAAGAAGAGUUGAGUAGAGAAGAAAAUUCUGCUAAGUCUGGAGAUCGGCAGCAGUCAGAUCGCAAAGGGGAAGGGACCAUCGGUAGAUAUGAACAUGGUAUUUAUGUUGCCAAUGGAGUUUCUUGCACCUUUUAGUGAUUAUGAGGAGAUAGGUUUCCCUGAUCAAAUAGCUCAGCCGGCUCUUGACCUGAUGAAUCCUAUCUUUGAAAAGCCCGCUGAUGAUGAAAGACAGCAUCUCAAAGCUUUGUUUGUUAAAGGCAGGGUUGAUGGGCAACUGAUGACCAAGAUACUCAUUGACGGUGGAGCUGCUAUCAACAUUAUGUCGUAUGCAAUCUAUCGGAAGCUUGGCAAAGGGGAUCAGGAUUUGUCCAAGAUCGAUAUGAUGUUGAAAGAUUUUGAAGGGAAUGUGUCUCCAGUCAAAGGGGCUAUAUGUGUUGAAUUGACUAUCGGCAGCAAGACUUUGCCAACAACCUUCUUUGUCAUUAGCGGAAAAGGUGCAUACAAUUUCCUGUUGGGAGAGACUGGAUUCAUGCCAAUUGUUGUAUUCCUUCUACAAUGCACCAAUGCUUGGUUCAGUGGGUAGAUGACAAGAUUGAAAUUGUCCCAGGAGAUUCUUCAUAUGUCAUAGCAUCGGCAGAGACAGAUACUUAUGAAAGGACCAGAUGUAUUUUGGGAGAAGUUUGGGAGAAGGAUUUUCUCAAGGUUGCCGAUUAUGAAAUUCCACCGAUCCAAGCAGUCGGGUCUGAUGAAGGGUUUUAAUGGAUAGGUUCGCCGAUGAUGGAAAGUCAGGGGUUUACAUCGUGUCGAGGGUAUCAGUAAGGGGUACCCUAACCAACGCACAUAACGAGAGCACCCGUAUGUAAAUCGAGGCCCCCGGCUCCACGCCCCCCGAUCGCAUGUACGAUUGUCAAGAUAAGACGGCGUCCACAGCCUCAAACACAGAAAGAGCGUCGUGCGAAUCAACUGGGGCUCGACCGAACAACGACCGUUGAAUAUGGAAACUGGCUCGUAUGAAUCGACAGGCCUCGAGCGCAAGGACGUCGCCCGCCGCCUGACGCGGGCACGAGAACCAGGGCAUUUAAUGCGCCUGUCGUGUUGUCACCUAACCCGACAGUCACGGGAAGCGUGAUAGGGAGCAAGCAUCCGUCCAAUCGCCCCUUUUUGCAGCCUUGUCCAUUGGAUGAACCAGAGCAUGGCAAGAUGCAGCGAGACAAAUGGGAUGUCUUGUCACGACCCCCCUCAAGAUGCCCAAAGUCAGCACUCAUAUCAACUAGGCUUUGCAUGGCUUCGGACACUCGAGCGAACAUGUUCCCUCUCUAAGAAGAGUUAGGCGAUGAAAGACAGUGUUGACGGUCCUUAAGUAUCAAAUUUAAUUAUCAAAUAAAUAAAGAAAAGGCUCCAAAUAAAAUCAAGAUCUAGACUUAGGGUUUUAUCUGACAGAAUUCCACGAGUUUUGGUGUGUUGUCUAUUUCUGCAGGGGGUUAUCAGGAAAUAUGGAAGAAAGGCCCACAUGUCAGGAUUACGUAAAGAUACUAACGUGCUGCGCAAUUAUCUUACAUCUAGAAGACUCCAGAAGCCACGAGACCGAAGCGGAGGCGAAACGGGGCCAGAGGCAGGGCGCCCGCCCUGUCCUACUGGGCGCCCGCCCUGCCCCUGAGUCCAAUCAGGACUCUGCUUUGCGGGAGAUCUCCACCGACCUAAAGGAUGAAUCUAAACCAUACAAUCUAUGUCGGUUUGAUCCAAGGGCCCAUAUUCACUUGGAGGGACUAUAAAACCAGACCUCCUGGCCCCUGGAGGAGAGAGCCUCUCAACCCUAAUUCAUUGUUCCAUCAGGGAGAAGAAGCCUCUGAUCAAGAUUAGAGCCACCACAUCAAUUAGAUAUCUAGAUUAGCAUAGCUACAUAGGAUUAGAACUAGAAGGAGUCAAUCUUCGAUUGGUUUCCGGAUCUGUCAGGAGGAUUCUUGGUAAUUCUCUAAUUGUGCUUCUAAUUACUUUCUAAUUAUCUUUGUUCUUCAAUAUUAUGAAUAUGAUUUUGUUCUACUUCAAUAUAUUGCUUAUGACUUUGCUCUACUUGCUUAUAUUCAAGAUUAUAUUGUUCUUAGUUUAUCAUAGUUAUGUACUUGGCUUAGUUAGAUUGGAUCUAUAUACAUGCUUAGGAUCGUAUAGCGUUUAUCCAUCGGAUCCAUGGGUAAAUGAUAGAUAUUGUGUAGGCGUGGUGCUUAUACCAUAUUUAUCUGCGAUUGUACCCAAUAUGCCACAUCGUGGGGUGGUUCGUGAUAGUGACAGCUUCAUUGAUUCUUAUAUAGUCCCCCUCUCGUGUAUUGGGCUGGCAGAGCAACAUUAUUACAGGGGAGUGAUUGCUAUGUUUCUCAUAUUCCUUGCUAAUAUCACUAUGCAUGGGCAUAGUCUUGUCUCACAAUGAUUGCUAAGUAUGCUUGCACUAACUAUGAUAAUGCUAGACUAUAUAGUUAAGAAUAAUUUAGGGAAUAUUCUUGUAGUUCGUUCUAAUACCAUGCUAAUGACUUUCUAGAGUAUCUAAUUGAGGUGCUUAUCAUAUUUAUUAUGUGGCUAGAUCAGAUUAGUUAUCCUUGUCACUAUUAUUAUUUCAUAUAUCUUUUAUGUGACACUUAUCCCUGUAUGAAGAGUUAGAUAUAAUGUUCUCAAUUAUACAUGCAAUGAUAUAUGCUCAAUCUCAUAUUCUAUUCUGUAAUCAUUAGUGAUGAUUUCUAAUCCCUUCCCAGUGGUAAAAACAUAAAUAACGAUAGCUGGAAUACUUCCCGGUUAAAAUGCUGCAUCGGUAUUAAUCUGUGCGCUUGCAGAUCCCAUUCAUUAUUUAUUUAGAAGAGCAAUUGCAUAUUUCAAUACUGCGUCUCUCAUAUCAUGCUGGGGAUGACAACUUGGCUUAAGUGGUGUGAGGGAUAGGUUUGGCAUUUUUGGCACCGUUACUAGAUUUAGAGAACAUAGUCUACUUUUAGUAAUGAUGUUAAGAAUACCCAACAAGCAUUUUUGGCGCCGUUGCCGGGGAAGGUUGAUUACCAAUCAGGAAUGGAAUAAAAGAUUUUGAGUUAUCAUUCGCAUCACUAAUAUGAUUGAGCUUAUCUAUUCUCUCAUACAGUUUUACCCCGAUAUUUUUCUAUUUCAUCUUAUGCAGGGGAAUGUAUGAAUAGAAGACAUCUUCUAGGAAAUUUUGUUGACAAUCCCGAAGCAUUAUUCAAGAAGACGAGAGCCAAGCUCAAGAAAUCAUCAACACUUCAGCAAGAAGCUUCAUCCAAUCAAGAAGAUCACCGGAACUUGUCUUCAGAGUUCGAAGCCAGGGUGAACAAAUCGAUCCGCGAGUUCUCAGCUCCCACUACGGACAACAUCCGCACUAGACCUGCUGCAGAGAUCGAUGGCAACUUUGAGCUCAAGCCUAGACUUAUCAACAUGGUGCAAUCCAACCAGUUCUGUGGGAAGGCAAACGAAGAUGCUAGUGCUCAUUUACAACACUUCCUAGAAAUUUGCAAGACAUUCACCAUAGCAGGAGUUUCCAAAGACGCUAUACUACUUCGCCUCUUCCCAUUCUCACUAUUAGGAAGAGCGAAGUAGUGGUUCUACGCUACAAAGGAGAAGAAUACUACGUGGGCACUCUGCUCAACAAACUUCCUGGCAAAGUUCUUUCCCAUGGGCAAGACCAAUGCUCUUCGUGGGAAGAUUACAAGUUUUCAGCAACAAAAUGAUGAAUCUGUUCCAGAAGCAUGGGAGCGCUUUCAAGACUACAUCCUAGAAUGUCCCCAUCAUGUAAUGGAGAGUUGGCUAUUGAUGCAGACAUUCUAUCAUGGGCUCAGCAACAGUGCCUGAGAGACCAUGGAUGCUGCAGCUGGAGGAGCAUUCUUAUCACUUACUAUACCACAAGCCACAGCUCUUGUGGAAAAGAUGGCCUCCAAUCAAAGCUGGAAUGAAGAGAGGACCCAGACACGCAAGAGAGGUGGAGGUAUGCAUCAGCUGAAGGAGGUAGACAUGCUGUCUGCAAAGCUAGACCUGCUCAUGAAGAAGCUCGACGAUAGAGCUAGAGGCAGGAAAGAAGUUAUGCACAUCUACGACUCUCACAUGACUUGUGAGGAGUGUGGAGACACUGGACACUCAGGCAACCACUGCCCUGAGAUACUUGAGGAUGUGAACUACAUCAACAACAACAACAACUACUACUACAACCAUCCUCAACAAAAUCAAGGUUGGAAUCAACAGAGGCCUAACUACUCAGGUAAUUAUCAAGGUAACAAUUCUUACAACAACAACAAUAGUAAUUUUCCACCUUUGAGGGAGUUAGUGUCUAAUCAAGGAAAGCUAAUGGAUAACCUAUCUAAGAAAUUGGCAUCUAAUGAUAAAAUGCUAGAAAAUAUAAAUAAUAGAAUGGAUAAUUUCUCUACUGCCAUCAAGAAUCAAAUUAGCUUUAAUAAAAUGAUUGAAUCUCAGUUAAAUCAAAUAGCUGCUGCUGUUCCUACUACUAACCCUAGUAUACCAUCACAACCGGAAGGAUUCGAAUCUGCAAAUCUUGUAGACGUGUUUGAUGCAGGUAAUUGGAGUAACCCCGUCAAUGAAUUCUCUACUGACCUUCUGCCGGUCAAGAGAGGCGAUCUAGGACGCCCUGUCAUCCCGAUCUCCAUCGGCAUGGUGGAUGUCCCAGAAGCACUCUGUGAUUUUGGCUCCAGUGUCAAUAUUAUACCCAGGGUACUCUAUGAAAAAUUCUUCACAUAUCCUUUAUUAGAAACAACCAUGUAUUUGCAGUUUGCAGAUCAGACGAUAACAUUUCCAAAAGGAAUAGUGAAGAACCUUUGUGUCCGAGUUGGUACCUUAUAUGCCCCAGCAGACUUCAUAGUGGUAGAGACCGGAAAUGAUGAGAGAGCACCUAUCAUCCUAGGGAGGCCAUUCUUGAACACCACGGGAGCUAUCAUCUACGCCAGUGCUGCCGAGAUCAGUUUCUACGUCAAUGGGAGGAAGGAGACAUUUUUCUUCAAGAACAAGACUACACAAAUUCAAGAUCAAUCCAGACGUAAGUCAAGGAAGAGGACCAACAAGAGAAACAGGAACAAGCAAGUGUGGACCGAGUCAGCUAAGAUGGUCACUGUAGUCCAUGGAGGCCAAGAUCAUCAACUUAAGGCACCGUUUUUGACCAAGAAGGACGACCCAGGAAUGCCAAGCAUUUACUGCUCCAUAAAUGGAUACAACUUCUACAAGACAAUUUGCGACACCGGAUCGGGCGUCAACAUAAUGGCCGUAGUCACCUAUCGGCUCUUGUUCGGGACCAUGCCACUAAGACCAACAUACAUUCAGCUCCAGAUGGCAGAUCAGACAUUUUGAGAAGUCAAAGGAACAGUAACUAAUGUCCCAGUCAAAAUAGACGAUCACUUUGUCUACACAGACUUUCAAGUUGUUGACAUGGGAGAAGAUGAGUAUGAUCCACCCAUCAUCCUUGGAAGACCGUUCCUCAGCACCGUUAAAGCAAUUAUCUACAUUGGAACCGGAGAAGUCCAUAUGCACUUCCCCUCAGAGAAGGUACGCCGUUAUUUUACUGACCCUAACUAUAUCAUUGAAGAAUCUAAGCAGGUCAGAAAGAGACGCAACCGCAACCAGAGGAGGCAGAUCAUCAAGGACGGAUGGGCAGACUAUGAAGGAGAAGUUGUAAGAUCAGAAGACGUUGAGUUUAAACAGAAUUAUCCAGAGGAGAUUGAAGCACCGAGUCAGGUAUGGAAAAUGAAGAUAACUAUACAAGAAGAGGAGGCGCUGCCGGAAGUACCGACUACGCCACCCAACGAACCUCACGACGAUUAAGAAAUUGGAGAGUCCCGUUUGGAGGACUUAAAAACACCGAACGCCUUGCCAAGAGGUAAACUUGGUAGUUAUCCUUUCCCUUUCAAUUAUUUCAAAGAGUUUGCUUAGUUAAUUAUGUUCAUGCUAUCCUAAAAAGAAAAUGAAAAUAUGAAAAACCAGUAAGCCCCAUGUGAGUAGACGAGUGGCAUAAAAUCCAUAAGUACAUUCACUGUGGUGGCAUAAAAAUAAAAUAAAAUUUCUUUUCUUUAUAAAAUGAAAAUAUAAAAACAGGGAGUAAUAAUUAUUAAUGAGUCUCAAUAUGAUAAAGGCUAGAUAUUUAUGCUAACACUUAAUUAGUUCCACAAGCUUUGUUGUCUAUUUGAGCUCCACAGAAUUUAAGAAUCAAGAAGACUAGCAGACGGAGGACAUUCUAAUUGCUGUGAGAAUGCUGCUGACUUUCAAAUACACCUCUGCCACCGGCUAGCUACAUCAAGAGAAAUUACAUCAAAAUUCAGCUUGGGGGAGAGCACCCCCAUUUAUCUCGAUAAAUAUUUCUAUCUAUCUUUAUACUUAUAUUAUUUUAGAAUAUAAAUACACAUAAACUAUGGAAAACCAAAUAAAUAGUUUAUGCUGAUAUAUAUAUGUCUUUUGCUUAGUGUGUUUAAUAAAUAAAUAAAGUGGCUAUGCAAAUCUGUAUCUAAAUAAAACUUAAGCAUGGAUAUGAUAAAUAGUUGCUUUGCCUAAUUUGCAAAUUUUAAGUUCUCUCUCAAGUUUAGAUAUAACUGUUAUAAUUUAAGGCUUGCUAUAGACCUAAACUUGUGGGAUGAAAACUUGAUCUGAAGUCUAAGUUGUUAACGGAUACGAUAUGGGAAGGUUGAGGUGCUGUUUAUCUGUUCCUAGAGAUGCUAGAAUUCUGGAGAAUUUUAUCUUUAAAAAUCUUUAAAAUGUUGCAUGAUGAGUUCCUGUAUGAUGAGAGUUUAAAUUCCUACCACAGCCAUAUAUACAUGCUUGUUAGACUUUGAGCCACAAAUUUAUUAUUUACUGCUUAUGAGCAUUGAGUGUGGUCAAGCUGUGUAGACCCUUAGGAGCUUGUCAUGUGGUUAAAUCAAGAUUUCACUUGCACGUUCACUCAUAUAUGCUACUUCUACUCCGGAAGUACCAUCCACAUAUAUCCACCCAUUCCAUCUCCAGAAUUACCCAAAAAUAUUCUACUCCUAAUCCGGGAGAGGAUAACCAAAAAUAUUUCUAUUUUCCCCUUGUGAAAUAAAUGCUCAAGUUAUCUUGUUACUACCACUUGCUAUAUUAUCUCAAGAGAUGAAUGCUCUGAAAAAAAAAGAGAUACAAGGAAAUAAAAAGGAGCAAGUGCUCGGAACCUCGAAAGAAAAGAAAAAGUGAGACGAGAGGUAAAAAUGGACAAGUGUCUGACAGUAGAAUUAGGGGUACAAGAUACCCACCUAAGAGACAAGAAAAAGAUAGAGCAUCUCAUUCUCCUCAUAAAGUUUCAAAAAGCAAGGAAGGUAUGUAUCCCCUCAAAGAGCAAAAGUUGAAUUAGACUUCCACCACCAUUGUUUUCACCAUUGUUAUCACCAUCAUCACCAUACACCAUUCAUUCGCCACACAUGCACAUCUUGAUUUGGCUUAUUGAUUUGUUACUUUGGAUCCAUGGUUUCACUAUGCAAUAAAUGUCUUGUAAGUAUGUAUACUUUAUCUCACACCUAUGAGCUCCAGAUAUUAAAGCCUUAUUAGAGUAGGGUGAGAGAGAGGGCAAUGUCACUAUGCCUCAUACCACAAAUACUACAUAUCAUGAGAGAAGGCAUAUACCAUCACUGCCUUGGUAAGGAUCCAAAAAUACCACAAAAGUGAGACCUGAGAGAAUCAUACAAGGAAUUUCUGAGUUUUAUUCGAAAAUCUGCAAAAAAAACCCCAGAGUUA